CUCUGUUACAUUCUAUUUGCAUAGUUUCCUUCUUCUGGGCAUUCAAUUCCUGCUCCAUAUUAGAUAACUUUGAUUGCAACUUCUGAAUAUAAUUUAAAGCCUCCGGCGACAAAUCCCCAAAAACCUGAGGACUAAUCUCUAAAUCUUGAAUACCAAUCUCACCUCCUCCACUCACGUUCUCUUCACUUUGCUCUAUUGAUUGCUCGUUCUGUUUUGAAGAAUUCAAUUUCUCCAAAUUUUCCACACAUAUAUCCAAAUUCCUCGUUAAAGAUAUUCUGUACUCAGCAUUCCACAGCGUGUAUCCUG
rnacentral:misc_RNA from 1 species